rnacentral:rRNA from 1 species
CCUGAUCCAGCAAUGCCGCGUGUGUGAAGAAGGCCUGCGGGUUGUAAAGCACUUUCAGUGGGGAGAAAAGCCUGAGGCCAAUACCCUUGGGUCUUGACGUUACCCACAGAAGAAGCACCGGCUAACUCCGUGCCAGCAGCCGCGGUAAUACGGAGGGUGCAAGCGUUAAUCGAAUUACUGGGCGUAAAGCGCGCGUAGGCGGCUGAUAAGUCGGGUGUGAAAGCCCCGGGCUCAACCUGGGAAUUGCAUUCGAUACUGGUUGGCUGGAGUCUGGUAGAGGGGUGUGGAAUUCCAGGUGUAGCGGUGAAAUGCGUAGAUAUCUGGAGGAACAUCAGUGGCGAAGGCGGCACCCUGGACCAAGACUGACGCUGAGGUGCGAAAGCGUGGGUAGCAAACAGGAUUAGAUACCCUGGUAGUCCACGCCGUAAACGAUGAGAACUAGCCGUUGGGAGGAUUAGCCUCUUAGUGGCGAAGCU